rnacentral:lncRNA from 1 species
GCUUGAUGGCAGGCACCUGUAAUCCCAGCUACUCAGGAGGCUGAGACAGGAGAAUUGCUUGAACCUGGUAGGUGGAGUUUGCAGUGAGCCGAGAUCGCACCACUGCACCCCAACCUGGGUGAUGGAGUGAGACUGAGACUCCGUCUAAAAAAAAAAAAAAAGAGGUGAUUUAGGCAGAAAAUACUUUCAAGAAAGGUUUAAGUGAAUCUUGAGUGUGAAGUCAAUAGUGGGGAAUGGAAGCCAAUUAGGAACAAAGGUUGAGGAUAACCAGUCUGUCCGCCAAAUCCUGCCAGCAUCCUGGGCUGGGUACACUAGAAAUCCUUGUGGCUCAUGUAAUCCACUAGUAAGAAAG